rnacentral:tRNA from 1 species
GCCGGAGUGGUGGAAUGGCAGACACAGGGGACUUAAAAUCCCUUGGCCGUUAUGGCCGUGCUGGUUCGAGUCCGGUCUCCGGCACCA